rnacentral:rRNA from 1 species
UACGUAGGGGGCAAGCGUUGUCCGGAAUCAUUGGGCGUAAAGCGCGUGUAGGCGGCUCGAUAAGUCUGCUGUGAAAGUCCAGGGCUCAACCCUGGGAUGCCGGUGGAUACUGUCGGACUAGAGUACGGAAGAGGCGAGUGGAAUUCCUGGUGUAGCGGUGAAAUGCGCAGAUAUCAGGAGGAACACCAAUUGCGAAGGCAGCUCGCUGGGACGUUACUGACGCUGAGACGCGAAAGCGUGGGGAGCAAACAGG